CCCUUAGAUGUUCUGGGCCGCACGCGCGCUACACUGAUGAAUUCAACGAGCUCCUAACCUAGGCCGAAGGGUCCGGGUAAUCUUUGAAAUUUCAUCGUGAUGGGGAUAGAUUAUUGCAAUUAUUAAUCUUCAACGAGGAGUUCCUAGUAAGCGCGAGUCAUCAGCUCGCGUUGAUUACGUCCCUGCCCUUUGUACACACCGCCCGUCGCUCCUACCGAUUGGAUGUUCCGGUGAAAUCUUCGGACUGUGCUCUUGUGGCGGUUCGCCGUUACUUGAGCGUGGAAAGUUGCUUAAACCUUAACAUCUAGAGGAAGGAGAANUCGUANCA
rnacentral:rRNA from 1 species